CUGUGCUCGCCUCACGCCCAGCCUGUUGAUCGGUGGACGGGUAAGCGCGCAUGGCAUCGGAAGGAGCUCGAAAAGUAUAAGGUGAUGACAAUGGAUAAUUGCGUGAAAAUCAAACUAAAAGAA